GCUGUAUACAACACUAUGUAAAAUGUGCUGGAAUCUGAGGGGCAUGUGCAAAAGUAGAUUUAAUUUCUCUUCCUUACAAGGGCCAACUAUUUACAUGGGAAGGAAAAACAUACCCCACAACUACAACCCGAUGUCAGUACCAAGAGCAGUAUGCAAAUGACUAUUACGGGCGCUCAGAAGCAUCACAAUGGAAGGGAAGUUGCAGCUGCCUAUACCCACACCUACAUCUUGUCUACCUGCCUGCUGUGUCACAGCCUGGGUGCAUUACUGGGCUCACUUCAGCUCCAAGAAAGCUUCCAGAAAUCAUGGCAGGCACACCUGCAAUGAGCAGAUCUGUGUCUACUUGUCCUUUAAGUGGACACCACUUUUCUGUUCAGAGCACAGAUCAAUGUGUCAGACAGAGCUCUUGGAUGACAAUAUUGUCCUGGCAGGGAUCCAGAGCGGCUGGGGAUAGAGAGUAUUAAAUGGGUCUGGUGCAGAACAGUUGAGGUGUGACUGGAUGUGACAGAGGACAGCACCUCUUUGACAAUGACAUUAUUCUGGAUUUUGUCUGGAAACUCAAGUAUAAGACCUAGCACCACUUGCCAAGGACCUCUGCUUUGCUUUGGUAGGC
rnacentral:lncRNA from 1 species